GACGAACGCUGGCGGCGUGCUUAACACAUGCAAGUCGAACGGAAAGGCCCUGCUUGCAGGGUACUCGAGUGGCGAACGGGUGAGUAACACGUGGGUGAUCUGCCCUGCACUUCGGGAUAAGCCUGGGAAACUGGGUCUAAUACCGGAUAGGAGCCAUUUUUAGUGUGAUGGUUGGAAAGUUUUUUCGGUGUAGGAUGAGCUCGUGGCCUAUCAGCUUGUUGGUGGGGUAAUGGCCUACCAAGGCGGCGACGGGUAGCCGGCCUGAGAGGGUGGACGGCCACAUUGGGACUGAGAUACGGCCCAGACUCCUACGGGAGGCAGCGGUGGGGAAUAUUGCACAAUGGGCGCAAGCCUGAUGCAGCGACGCCGCGUGGGGGAUGACGGCCUUCGGGUUGUAAACUCCUUUCGCUAGGGACGAAGCUUUUUGUGACGGUACCUAGAUAAGAAGCACCGGCUAACUACGUG
rnacentral:rRNA from 1 species